rnacentral:rRNA from 1 species
UAUUGGUCAAUGGGCGAGAGCCUGAACCAGCCAAGUCGCGUGAGGGAGUACUGCCCUAUGGGUUGUAAACCUCUUUUGUCGGGGAGCAAAAGCCGGACGUGUCCGGCUGUGAGAGUACCCGAAGAAACAGCAACGGCUAACUCCGUGCCAGCCGCAGCGGUAAUACGGAGGAUGCGAGCGUUAUCCGGAUUUAUUGGGUUUAGAGGGUGCGCAGGCGGAUUUUGAAGUCAGCGGUCAAAUCGUGGGGCUCAACCCCAUCCAGCCGUUGAAACUGGGGAUCUAGAGUGAGCGAGAGGUAUGCGGAAUGCGUGGUGUAGCGGUGAAAUGCAUAGAUAUCACGCAGAACCCCGAUUGCGAAGGCAGCAUACCGGUGCACAACUGACGCUCAGGCACGAAAGCGUGGGUAUCGAACAGG